rnacentral:rRNA from 1 species
AGAGUUUGAUCCUGGCUCAGGAUGAACGCUAGCGGCAGGCCUAACACAUGCAAGUCGAGGGGUAGAAGUAGCUUGCUACUUUGAGACCGGCGCACGGGUGCGUAACGCGUAUGCAAUCUACCUUAUACAAGGGGAUAGCCCGAAGAAAUUUGGAUUAAUACCCUAUAGUAUUAUCGACCGGCAUCGGUUGAUAAUUAAAAUUCCGAUGGUAUAAGAUGAGCAUGCGUCCUAUUAGCUGGUUGGUGUGGUAACGGCACACCAAGGCGACGAUAGGUAGGGGUCCUGAGAGGGAGAUCCCCCACACUGGUACUGAGACACGGACCAGACUCCUACGGGAGGCAGCAGUGAGGAAUAUUGGACAAUGGGCGCAAGCCUGAUCCAGCCAUGCCGCGUGCAGGAAGACUGCCCUAUGGGUUGUAAACUGCUUUUAAACGGGAAGAAACCCUCCGACGUGUCGGAGUUU